AACACUGUCCAGUCUGUGACACUGUCCAGUUUGUGAUGCUGUCCAAUCUGUGACACUGUCCCGUUUGUGAUGCUGUCCAGUCUGUGACACAGGACACCCAAUCCCUCCCAGCCCCAAACACACAGCAGUGGCCCCAAACCUCCCCCACUCACCGAGGUGACCUAGGUCUGUUGUCAGGAGGUUAGAGCAGAGCAAAGCUGAGGGAGAAUAUCCUGAUUAGAAGGAUGUCCCACAAUGGAACAGGAAUACCCUUCUGUCCCUUAAUUUUCACCCCAGCCCCUGAUACUGGGCUUUCUAUCAAUGCCAUAACUCAGAGGGUCAUGGGCUCAUCCAGUUUAAGUCCAGCUUAACUCUGAUGCCAUCAGCUUUACACCAGGAGAAGAUCUGGCAUCAUGCUUUGUCACCCCAACCCUGGUGCUGAAUUCUCGGAAUGGAGAGGAGAGCUGGGCUGCUCCACACACCCCACACCCAGUUCCUCUGGAAGCUGAGUUCCAUAGCCAUGCUGUGUCCAGCAGCUUUUCCUCCCAUCCCCGAGACAAUGCCACUCCUCAGUGCAUUCAGGAUUGGUGUGUGCAGUGGAAAAAUAGCCCAGAAAAGGGAUGGAUCACACAGGAAAAGCUACUUAGUCCCUAAAUAAAAGAGGAGAGUGAUUAAA